CAAAAUGUAGUUUAUUUAAAAUAUUAAUUUUGGAGAUUAAAGAUAUAAAAUUUUUAUUGUUUUGA
rnacentral:tRNA from 1 species